rnacentral:lncRNA from 1 species
GUAUAAUCUGUUACCAGUUGUGUCUGAUGAUGGCACAUACUCUUUUAUGGAGUCACAAGCACAAAAUUUAGUACAACACUGAAAAACAUCAAUAAAAUUUGACUGUAUUGCUUUGUAAACAGAGCUGACACACUAUAUUGGUACUGAUGCAGCAGUACUUUCAAAAACAUCCUAACCCUUCUUUGCCUAUGCACAACACGAGCAAUUAUACACAAAUACAGGUGCAGGAGUCCACUAAAUUGCUGUUACUCCAAUAAUUUCUGGGCACUGAGCUACAGACAGCAUGUCCAUCCAAAGGACCCCACUGAAUACAUUUUGUGACAGCAUCUUGGAUUUUGCACAGUAAAAAGAAAAUUACCCAUUAACGGAAAACAAAAGAGAGGGAGAGAAAGAAAGACAAAAUGAACUAGAAGUCAAUCAUACUUGGUCUCAACACCAGCAUUUGAUUAUUUCAAAUAAAACCAACAGAAAAAGCAGACUGUACAUGAUUCAGAUUGUUAACACAGAUCGUUGUCCAUGUUUAUCGGUUACACACUCGUUGAAGCUCCUGAGAAAAGCUUGGCUCAGUGUCAUCAAUGCACUUUUCAGCCUGUACAGUAAAAGAUGAUCAACAGUUCCCCAGCACGACCGAGCUAUGUCCUUCCAUCCCGAUUCUCUGAAACUUCUCAAGUUGCUUUAUACCUUCAUGCUUCCGAGUAAGAAUUCUGUGUGUUUAGUUUAUCUUUCUUCAGUUUUACACCAUCGACCAGCUCAAAAUUGUAAUUCUCCAGUGCAGACAAGUUCCUCUCUGACAUCCCAUUGUGCCAGCAGGCACAGUACAGGACAACUCCACAAAUGGCUCCUAAAAGCACCCCAAGUGCACUCAUGGCUAUGAUGGUAAUAAGGAUUGGGUCUAGCGUCUUCAGGACAUUGCCUGGUUUCCUGGAGAUGUCAUCAUAGUCCUCAUCUGUACGGUAUGAAGGAGUAAACCCUGUUUGAUUACUUUCUGGAUCUUCUUCAACUAUUUCACUCUCCACAUCAGUUGAUUUUUGGCAAUCCUCUUGAGAUAUGUGAUUGUCAAUAUUAAUAUCAUCCACAGCAAUUCCUCCAUUUCCCUUUCCAAUUUCUC